AGGGAAGAUCAACAAGAGAACUCUGCCAGAAAAUUAUAAACUUGUUAGUUUCUCAAUGCAAAUAAAGAACCCAUGUUACUUGUUAAAAUCAGGUGCUGAUUAAGUAUAUGAAACUCAAGUGAACAUGUCCAAGCGAUGCAAGCCAGUGGCUCAGGCAGUAGCUAGACACAAUUCAUAACAGUAUAUGAAUCCAGUAAAGUUAUGGGAAAAAAAGUUAUAUAUAAAUUACAAAGAAAAGAAAUAAGAGACAGCAUAACUGAUCCACACAUGAAAUGAAAAAUCAAAUAAACAAGGCAAUCUCAUUGUGUUAGGUCCACCACAAUAUGGACCUGGAGGGGCAAUCAAAUUCUCACACACAGUACUACUUCAGCAUUUCUGCUAGAAUUGGCUGCUUCUACCCCAUGGUUAAUCAAGCAAAAAGCUUCCAAAAUCAGAGUUAGUAAAAAUGGCAACAUCUUUCUUCAUAAUAAAAUAAACAUUUAGGAAAAAGAAACAUCAUUUUGUUUGAGCAAAAACAAAAGCUUCG
rnacentral:misc_RNA from 1 species